rnacentral:lncRNA from 1 species
AAGGAGGGGAAGGAAGGGAAGGGAGGGGAGAGGAGAGGAGGGAAGCGAGGGAGAGGAGAAGGAAGGGGAGGGGUGAGAUGGUGAGGUGUGGAGGAAAAGUUAAAUAUUAAAUUUGAACUCAAUUGAACAUCGACACAAACAAUGGUCACCAAGUCCCAGAACAGGUUGUGUGUGCCCCUUGAGGCGUUCAUCCAGCACUGUUUCAGAGAAAUCCCUAUUUCAAUCUAUUCCUAUACGUUAGUUAUUGAAAAGCAAUAGACAAUCACAAAAAACAAGUUGACCUUUUUGUGUUCCUUGAGCCAAAGGGCCCUCAUGACUGGGCCUCACACCGAAUAACUCGUUACAAAAAGAGCUAGGGUCCCAGACUGCGCCAAAGCUUCAGGAGACUGCUCCUCGUCUGUGCACAGAUGAGUGGCCAACUCUGGAGCCCAGGUUGUUGCUUCCUAGUCUGGUGGUGAAUCCUUCAUAGUCUGAGGUGCUUAUUUAGCAAAUUCAACCUUAAACCUGAGUGCAUGGAAACUAUUGAUGCAGUGUCCAAGGUGGAGAAAGGUCAGAGUGGAUCCAGAGGAGCCAAGAGAAGACGUCCAGCAUGGUGACCUGGGCUCAAGUCAAGGUCCUUAUUUCUCUGCUGAACCAUCACAUUCCUUAUACAGAGUGGGACAGCAUUGGCUGAGUUCUACUAGCAAAUGCCGGAGAUGUGGUUCCUGUUGGCCUUUUAACUGAUGUGAUGAAAUAAAGUCUUCCAUAAUUUGACAACUAGUUUAUAAGUGGCAGAGUUUGAAUUUUUGUCUCAAU